GUGGGCGUAGUUCAACGGUAGAGCACUAGGUUGUGAUCCUAGUCGUUGUGGGUUCGAGUCCCAUCGCCCACCCCA
rnacentral:tRNA from 1 species